UAGGGAAUCUUCGGCAAUGGACGAAAGUCUGACCGAGCAACGCCGCGUGAGUGAAGAAGGUUUUCGGAUCGUAAAACUCUGUUGUUAGAGAAGAACAAGGACGUUAGUAACUGAACGUCCCCUGACGGUAUCUAACCAGAAAGCCACGGCUAACUACGUGCCAGCAGCCGCGGUAAUACGUAGGUGGCACGCGUUGUCCGGAUUUAUUGGGCGUAAAGCGAGCGCAGGCGGUUUCUUAAGUCUGAUGUGAAAGCCCCCGGCUCAACCGGGGAGGGUCAUUGGAAACUGGGAGACUUGAGUGCAGAAGAGGAGAGUGGAAUUCCAUGUGUAGCGGUGAAAUGCGUAGAUAUAUGGAGGAACACCAGUGGCGAAGGCGGCUCUCUGGUCUGUAACUGACGCUGAGGCUCGAAAGCGUGGGGAGCAAACAGG
rnacentral:rRNA from 1 species